GAUGAACGCUAGCUACAGGCUUAACACAUGCAAGUCGAGGGACCGGCGCACGGGUGAGUAACACGUAUCCAACCUGCCCUUUACUCGGGGAUAGCCUUUCGAAAGAAAGAUUAAUACCCGAUAUAAUGGAUGGGUAUGCUUUCCAUUAGGUUGUUGGUGAGGUAACGGCCCACCAAGCCUUCGAUGGAUAGGGGUUCUGAGAGGAAGGUCCCCACGAUCGGAACUUGUACACGGUCCAAACUCCUACGGGAGGCAGCAGUGAGUAAUAUUGGUCAAUGGGCGGUAGCCUGAACCAGGCAAGUAGCGUGAAGGAUGAAGGCUUAUGGGUAGUAAACUUCUUUUAUAUAAGAAUAAGGAAUAAAAGAAUAAGGAUCGGCUAACUCCGUGCCAGCAGGAGCGGGAAGAG
rnacentral:rRNA from 1 species